AGUGGACGCUGGCGGUAGGCCUAACACAUGCAAGUCGAACGGCAGCACAGUAAGAGCUUGCUCUUACGGGUGGCGAGUGGCGGACGGGUGAGGAAUACAUCGGAAUCUACUUUUUCGUGGGGGAUAACGUAGGGAAACUUACGCUAAUACCGCAUACGACCUACGGGUGAAAGCAGGGGAUCUUCGGACCUUGCGCGAUUGAAUGAGCCGAUGUCGGAUUAGCUAGUUGGCGGGGUAAAGGCCCACCAAGGCGACGAUCCGUAGCUGGUUUGAGAGGAUGAUCAGCCACACUGGAACUGAGACACGGUCCAGACUCCUACGGGAGGCAGCAGUGGGGAAUAUUGGACAAUGGGCGCAAGCCUGAUCCAGCCAUACCGCGUGGGUGAAGAAGGCCUUCGGGUUGUAAAGCCCUUUUGUUGGGAAAGAAAAGCAGCAGGUUAAUACCCCGCUGUUCUGACGGUACCCAAAGAAUAAGCACCGGCUAACUUCGUG
rnacentral:rRNA from 1 species